AGCAGUAGCCGCGGUAAUACGUAGGGUGCGAGCGUUAAUCGGAAUUACUGGGCGUAAAGCGUGCGCAGGCGGUUGUGUAAGACAGGUGUGAAAUCCCCGGGCUUAACCUGGGAACUGCGCUUGUGACUGCACAGCUAGAGUAUGGCAGAGGGGGGUGGAAUUCCACGUGUAGCAGUGAAAUGCGUAGAGAUGUGGAGGAACACCGAUGGCGAAGGCAGCCCCCUGGGCCAAUACUGACGCUCAUGCACGAAAGCGUGGGGAGCAAACAGGAUUAGAUACCCCCGUAGUCCUGUCUCUUAUACC
rnacentral:rRNA from 1 species